rnacentral:rRNA from 1 species
UACGUAGGGGGCAAGCGUUGUCCGGAUUUAUUGGGCGUAAAGAGCGUGUAGGCGGCCAAGCAGGUCCGCUGUGAAAACUCGAGGCUCAACCUCGAGACGUCGGUGGAAACCGUUUGGCUAGAGUCCGGAAGAGGAGAGUGGAAUUCCCGGUGUAGCGGUGAAAUGCGCAGAUAUCGGGAGGAACACCAGUGGCGAAGGCGACUUCCUGGCCUGUUCUUGACGCUGAGGCGCGAAAGCUAGGGGAGCAAACGGGG